rnacentral:rRNA from 1 species
GGCUCAGGACGAACGCUGGCGGCGUGCUUAACACAUGCAAGUUGAACGGUAUGACAUGGAAGCUUGCUGAAGUGUCAUAUAGUAGCGGACGGGUGAGUAAUGCAUGAGAAGCUGCCAUUGGGAGGGGGACAACAGUUGGAAACGGCUGCUAAUACCCCGUAUGCCGGAAGGUGAAAGGGAGCGAUCCGCCCGAUGAGGUGCUCAUGUCCUAUCAGCUGGUUGUGGGGUAACGGCCUACCAAGGCGACGACGGGUAGCCGGCCUGAGAGGGUGAGCGGCCACACUGGAACUGAGAUACGGUCCAGACUCCUACGGGAGGCAGCAGUGGGGAAUAUUGGGCAAAUGGGGGCAACCCUGACCCAGCGACGCCGCGUGGGGGAAGACGGCCUUCGGGUUGUAAACCUCUUUUGUACGGGAAGAAGGAAGUGACGGUACUGUACGAAUAAGUCCCGGCUAACUACGUGCCAGCCGCUGC